rnacentral:rRNA from 1 species
UAGGGGCUUAACUCNUAAAUUGCCAUUGAUACUGGUGGGCUUGAGUGUAGAUGAGGUAGGCGGAAUGCGUGGUGUAGCGGUGGAAUGCAUAGAUAUCACGCAGAACUCCAAUUGCGAAGGCAGCUUACUAAGGUACAACUGACGCUGAAGCACGAAAGCGUGGGUAUCAAACAGGAUUAGAUACCCUGGUAGUCCACGCAGUAAACGAUGAUAACUGGGCGUAUGCGAUAUACAGUAUGCUCNUAAGCGAAAGCGUUAAGUUAUCCACCUGGGGAGUACGCCGGCAACGGUGAAACUCAAAGGAAUUGACGGGGGCCCGCACAAGCGGAGGAACAUGUGGUUUAAUUCGAUGAUACGCGAGGAACCUUACCCGGGAUUGAAAUGUAGAUGACCGCCGGUGAAAGUCGGCUUCCCUUCAGGGCAUCUAUGUAGGUGCUGCAUGGUUGUCGUCAGCUCGUGCCGUGAGGUGUCGGCUUAAGUGCCAUAACGAGCGCAACCCCUGUCUACGGUUGCCAUCAGGUAAUGCUGGGAACUCCGUAGAGACUGCCGUCGUAAGGCGUGAGGAAGGUGGGGAUGACGUCAAAUCAGCACGGCCCUUACAUCCGGGGCGACACACGUGUUACAAUGGUGGGGACAAAGGGCAGCUACCUGGCGACAGGAUGCGAAUCUCCAAACCCCAUCACAGUUCGGAUCGGAGUCUGCAACUCGACUCCGUGAAGCUGGAUUCGCUAGUAAUCGCGCAUCAGCCAUGGCGCGGUGAAUACGUUCCCGGGCCUUGUACACACCGCCCGUCAAGCCAUGGGAGUCUGGAGUACCUAAAGUCCGUACCUGCGAGGG